UACGAUAAAGGCAAACUCUGAGCAAUCAGAGGACGCAAAGUAAAGGGUCUUUUAAGCAUACAGGGAAGUAGCAUAAAAUACCUUACUAAAAAAGACAGCCUUACUGCCGAAG
rnacentral:ncRNA from 1 species